rnacentral:rRNA from 1 species
CAAUAGCGUAUAUUAAAGUUGUUGCGGUUAAAAAGCUCGUAGUUGGAUUUCUGUUGAGGACGGCCGGUCCGCACUAUGUGCGUGUAUCUGGUUCGGCCUUGGCAUCCUCUUGAGGAACGUAUCUGCGCUUGAUUGCGUGGAGCGGUAUUCAAGACUUUUACUUUGAGGAAAUUGGAGUGUUCACGGCAGGCAAGCGCCUUGAAUACGUUAGCAUGGAAUGAUAAUAUAGGAUCUUGGUUCUAUUUUGUUGGUUUCUAGAGCUAAGGUAAUGAUUAAUAGGGAUAAUUGGGGGCAUUUGUAUUAACGCGUCAGAGGUGGAAUUCUUGGAUUGCGUUACGACAAACUACUGCGAAAGCAUUUGCCAAGGAUGUUCUCAUUGA